rnacentral:rRNA from 1 species
GUGGGGAAUAUUGGGCAAUGGGCGAAAGCCUUACCCAGCAAUGCCGCGUGAGUGAAGAAGGUCUUCGGAUUGUAAAGCUCUUUGAUCAGGGACGAACACAAUGACGGUACCUGAAGAACAAGCCCCGGCUAACUACGUGCCAGCAGCCGCGGUAAUACGUAGGGGGCAAGCGUUGUCCGGAAUGACUGGGCGUAAAGGGUGUGUAGGCGGGCUCGCAAGUUGGAUGUGUAAUACCCAGAGCUUAACUCGGGUGCUGCAUCUGAAACUACGAGUCUUGAGUGUCGGAGAGGUAAGUGGAAUUCCUAGUGUAGCGGUGGAAUGCGUAGAUAUUAGGAGGAACAUCAGUGGCGAAGGCGACUUACUGGACGAUAACUGACGCUGAGGCACGAAAGCGUGGGGAGCAAACAGGA